UUGCACGCUGGCGGCAUGCUUUACACCUGCCAGUCGCACGGCAGCGCGGGCUUCGGCCUGGCGGCGAGUGGCGAACGGGUGAGUAAUACAUCGGAACGUGCCCAGUAGUGGGGGAUAGCUCGGCGAAAGCCGGAUUAAUACCGCAUACGACCUGAGGGUGAAAGCGGGGGAUCUUCGGACCUCGCGCUAUUGGAGCGGCCGAUGGCAGAUUAGCUAGUUGGUGGGGUAAAGGCCUACCAAGGCGACGAUCUGUAGCUGGUCUGAGAGGACGACCAGCCACACUGGGACUGAGACACGGCCCAGACUCCUACGGGAGGCAGCAGUGGGGAAUUUUGGACAAUGGGCGAAAGCCUGAUCCAGCAAUGCCGCGUGUGUGAUGAAGGCCUUCGGGUUGUAAAGCACUUUUGGCGGGAACGAAAAGGACUGUGCCAAUACCACGGUUCGAUGACGGUACCCGCAGAAUAAGCACCGGCUAACUACGUG
rnacentral:rRNA from 1 species